rnacentral:rRNA from 1 species
UCCGUAGGUGAACCUGCGGAAGGAUCAUUGUCGAAACCUGCACAGCAGAACGACCCGCGAACGUGUUAAAACGACGGCGGGGCGCUCGCGCGCCCCCGCCAUCAGGGGGAAGCGCGCGCCGAUCCCCUCACGGGGGGAGGCGGUCGCUCUCCCUGCAAAACAACGAACCCCGGCGCGAACCGCGCCAAGGAACAUGAACGAGAGAGCGAGCCCGCGAAGCCCCGUCCGCGGGCGCGAUCGCGGGGUGGCAUCUUCCUCUACAUAAACAGAACGACUCUCGACAACGGAUAUCUCGGCUCUCGCAUCGAUGAAGAACGUAGUGAAAUGCGAUACUUGGUGUGAAUUGCAGAAUCCCGUGAACCAUCGAGUCUUUGAACGCAAGUUGCGCCCGAAGCCGUUAGGCCGAGGGCACGUCUGCCUGGGCGUCUCACAUCGCGUCGCCCCCCCACACGCACCCCGGGUGCUGUCGGGGGGCGGACAAUGGCCCCCCGUGCGCCGCAGGCUCGCGGUCGGCCCAAAAAACGAGUCGCCGGCGACGACUGACGUCACGACAAGUGGUGGUAGAGAAAUCAUUUUCUUCUUCGCGUGCUGUCGUGCGAUCGAACGUCGCCGGCGGAGAGCUCCAGCGACCCAGACGCGCCGUCUCGACGGCGCCCCGACCGCGACCCCAGGUCAGGCGGGACUACCCGCUGAGUUUAAGCAUAUCAAUAAGCGGAGGA